rnacentral:rRNA from 1 species
UACGUAGGGGGCAAGCGUUGUCCGGAUUUAUUGGGCGUAAAGAGCGUGUAGGCGGCUUGGUAGGUCCGCUGUGAAAACUCGAGGCUCAACCUCGAGAUGUCGGCGGAAACCACUUGGCUAGAGUCCGGAAGAGGAGAGUGGAAUUCCUGGUGUAGCGGUGAAAUGCGCAGAUAUCGGGAAGAACGCCAAGGGCGAAGGCACUCUGCUAGGCCUGAUUUCGCGACUGACACUCAGGGACGAGAGCCAGGGGAGCGAAUGGG